rnacentral:rRNA from 1 species
GACGAACGCUGGCGGCGUGCUUAACACAUGCAAGUCGAACGGAAAGGUCCUGCCUUUGGGGGGUGCUCGAGUGGCGAACGGGUGAGCAACACGUGAGUAAACUGCCCUUGACUCUGGGAUAACGUCAGGAAACUGGGGCGAAUACAGGAUAGGAGAUCCCGCUGCAGGGUGUGGGUCGGAAAGUUUCGGCGGUUGGGGCUGGACGCGCGGGUUAUCGGCUGGAUGGGGGGGUAGUGGGCUACCAAGGCUGUGACGGGUAGCCGGCCUGGGAGGGUGACCGCGCCCAAUGGGACUAAGGUACGGCCCAGACUCCUACGGGCGGCAGCAGUGGGGAAUAUUGCACAAUGGGCGGGAGCCUGAUACGGCAGCGCCGCGUGCGGGAUGACGUCCUUCGGGUUGUGAACCGCUUUCGCCUGUGACGAAGCGUGAGUGACGGUAAUGGGUAAAGAAGCACCGGCUAACUACGUG